rnacentral:rRNA from 3 species
UGAGAAUGUGCCUUCGGGAACCGUGAGACAGGUGCUGCAUGGCUGUCGUCAGCUCGUGUUGUGAAAUGUUGGGUUAAGUCCCGCAACGAGCGCAACCCUUAUCCUUUGUUGCCAGCGGUCCGGCCGGGAACUCAAAGGAGACUGCCAGUGAUAAACUGGAGGAAGGUGGGGAUGACGUCAAGUCAUCAUGGCCCUUACGACCAGGGCUACACACGUGCUACAAUGGCGCAUACAAAGAGAAGCGACCUCGCGAGAGCAAGCGGACCUCAUAAAGUGCGUCGUAGUCCGGAUUGGAGUCUGCAACUCGACUCCAUGAAGUCGGAAUCGCUAGUAAUCGUGGAUCAGAAUGCCACGGUGAAUACGUUCCCGGGCCUUGUACACACCGCCCGUCACACCAUGGGAGUGGGUUGCAAAAGAAGUAGGUAGCUUAACCUUCGGGAGGGCGCUUACCACUUUGUGAUUCAUGACUGGGGUGAAGUCGUAACAAGGUAACCGUAGGGGAACCUGCGGUUGGAUCAC